rnacentral:sRNA from 1 species
AAUGCUGGGCUGCCCGGCGACUUCCGCGAGGUGCUCCAGCAGCGGCUGGGGGAGCUGGAGAGGCAGCUUCUGCGCAAGGUGGCAGAGCUGGAGGACGAGAAGUCCCUGCUGCACAAUGAGACCUCGGCUCACCGGCAGAAGACCGAGAGCACCCUGAACGCGCUGCUGCAGAGGGUCACCGAGCUGGAGCGAGGUGUGUGCCUGGCCUGUUUCUCUGUCUGGCAGUGGCCUGAUUUUCACCACUUGUGGUCAGACAUGCGAUUCUGGUUGAUGGACAGCAGGGAUUGUGACACCACAUGGGCCUGGUUCCCGAGUGUGUGAGCAAAUAAUAAAGGCGACUGAACAAGGUCAUCUCAGGAAUGAGCUGCCAGCCCCACUGGCAUUAUCCAGGGAAAAGUGAAUGUGUCCAGGACCAGCUUCGAUAAGCAACCACACGGGCGUUUCAGUCCUUUGUUAACUAGUCAUGGCAGCGGAUUCUGUGUAUCUUUCUCUUCUCUGCUCACACUGUGGCAACAGCGCCUUUAAGUCACCAGAUGCAUUCAAGGUGUCCCUCCCGCUCCGCACAAACUACCUAUACGGCAAGAUCAAGAAGACGCUGCCUGAGCUGUACGCCUUCACCAUCUGCCUGUGGCUGCGGUCCAGCGCCUCACCAGGCAUUGGCACCCCCUUCUCCUAUGCGGUGCCGGGGCAGGCCAACGAGAUCGUGCUGAUCGAGUGGGGCAACAACCCCAUCGAGCUGCUCAUCAACGACAAGGUUGCGCAGCUGCCCCUGUUUGUCAGUGACGGCAAGUGGCACCACAUCUGUGUCACCUGGACGACACGGGAUGGCAUGUGGGAGGCAUU